rnacentral:pre_miRNA from 1 species
UUAAUAAGCACCUGGCUACAGAGCAUUAAAUGCUUUGCAUGUCGGGGUGUGCAUUGUUGUAUCAUUUGAUCCAAUAGUGCACACCUCCGCAUGUAGAGCAUUAAAUGCUCUGUAUCUGGGUGCUUAUUGA